CAGGAGACACAACAUCCGCGAGGCACAGGAAGUGUUUGAUGCACCACAUUCUUUACCUCCAGGUAAAAAUUAAUUGUGUGUUACCUGGCAUGCACAAGCAUUGAGCUGUUUAUAGCUGCUAAGAGUCUGAUUUUCACAUGUUCAGGAGGGAUGCCUGGAGUUGCCACUUCAGAAUCGUCCGUAUGGUAUAACAUAGCAUCAUGUGUUUGCACAAAGUUUGUAUUCAAGUUAUGAGUUGUAACAACUAAACAGAUUCAAACGAGAUUCUAACCGCUGACAGGAAACGCACUAGCUUCUCCUCUCAAUCACAUGCAUGCUGAUGACAGAAAUGUUAUGCAGGCCAGGGAGUUUAGUUGCUUUUUCUUCAAUUAAACACACAGAUAUUAAUAUUAGUUGUAUGAAAAUGAGCCGUUGGUCCCUCUGUUCCAGCUCUCCAUGCCAUUUACAUUCCGGAGGGGUACCUCAUUCAACUUAUUAUGUUCUGUAACUGCUCAACGGUUGCACAACGAGAACCAUUUGAAGUGGGUAUUUGAGGACACAUAUCAUGAGGUGUGGUCCAUUAGAGAGGAACGUCAGCCAGAACGAGAACUUAGUAGAGUCCGCUUCGACAGCGAACAGCAUGACGUUCCUAUAUACUUACGGUCAACGAUACUUGCAUGGUUACAGGUAUCCGAACGAGUUCCACCAGAGAUGUCUACAUGCAGACGGUCAAGACUCCGUCCCUCAAGUCGGACUACAACAAGGGAACGAGACCUAGUCAAUAGCUAUGGGGGAGUGUGAUCAUGGACCAUUUAUAUACACCAUCACUAAUGAAGCUGUAACUGCUCAACGGUUGCACAACAAGAACCAUUUGAAGUGGGUAUUUGAGGACGCAUAUCACAAGGCGUGGUCCAUUAGAGAGGAACGUCAGCCAGAACGAGAACUUAGUAAUCAUCCUUGACAGCGAGCAGCGCAUGGUAUCCAAACGAGUUCCACAAGAGAUGUAUACAGACGAUCAAGACUCCGUCCCUCAAGUCGGGCUACAGCGAGGGAACGAUACCUAUAGUCAAUAACUGUGGGGGGGGGGUGAUCAUGGACCAAUUAUAUACACCAUCGCUGAUGAAGAGGACAGCCUUAAACUACGUGAGGACCUUGUGUCAGAACAAAUACUUCAAGGGUGUGACGUUCUCUCCCAUACCAAAGAGACCGACAGACUGCUGCAGAUAAAGAGAGUCAGCUUCGACAGCGAACAGCAUGACGUUCCUAUACUUACAGUCAACGAUACUUGCAUGGUUACAGGUAUCCGAACGAGUUUCAUAAGAGAUGUCUACAUGCAGACGGUCAAGACUCCGUCCCUCAAGUCGGACUACAAUGAGGGAACGAGACCUAGUCAAUAGCUGUGGGGGAAUGUGAUCAUGGACCACUUAUAUACACCAUCGCGAUGAAGAAUCAUCCUUGACAGCGAGCAGUGCAUGGUAUCCAAACGAGUUCCACAAGAGAUGUAUACAGACGAUCAAGACUCCGUCCCUCAAGUCGGGCUACAGCGAGGGAACGAUACCUAUAGUCAAUAGCUGUGAUGGAGGGGGGGGGGUGAUCAUGGACCAAUUAUAUACACCAUCGCUGAUGAAGGUGCAUAUAUGUGUGAUUGGUGUGGUGUGUAAUUAUUAUACAUGCAUAUUAUAUUAUUGUUCAGCUUUGUC